rnacentral:lncRNA from 1 species
CAUUUUUCGACUGAUUUUUAUACGACCGCAAAAUUUGAAAAAUUUUUCGUCGUAUAUUGCUAUCACGUUGGCGUCGUCGUCUGCGUCGUCGUCGUCGUCGUCGUCGUCGUCGUCCGAAUACUUUUAGUUUUCGCACUCUAACUUUAGUAAAAGUGAAUGGAAAUCUAUGAAAUUUUAACACAAGGUUUAUGACCACAAAAGGAAGGUUGGUAUUGAUUUUAGGAAUUUUGGUCCCAACAUUUUAGGAAUUAGGGGCCAAAAA